GCGGGGCCGGGAGCGGCCGCCGGUCCCCUCACGAUGCUCCGCCAUGUUGGCUGUGACUGUGGCCGGUCCGGGGUCCCGUCGGGUCCUUCGGUUCCUUCGGGCAGGGGGCGAUAGAAGUGUUGAGAUCACCACGGAGUCCCCUCGGAGGUACCUCGGUGCCGCAGAAGCGCGUUUUCCCUGUCAGCAGCCGCUCCAUAGACUCGCCCAUUACACUGCCAUUGCCUCCGGAAGCAGAGACUUUCUACUGAUUUUACUUUUUCCUUUUCUAACACUCCGUCGCCCUUUCCGGUGAAAUGGCAAGGGAAGGGCCCCAGAAGUGUGUCCCCCCAUGCCGGCUCUCCUCCCGGUGAUGGGGCGUGGGAGGUGUCAGACCCGCUGUGGAGAGAUUUUCGAGUACUAUAAGUUUAUGAUAACUCUGAUGUCCCCAGUAAACGACACUUUGUUACUCGGGUUAAUCUGUGCCCAAGUACGGUUAUGUUUUGCUUUGACACUAAAGGAAGGGGUGGAUGUGGGUGACUCGGUCUUUGACUCAGUGAGGUGGGAGAGCCAUAGGAAAUAGAUCAUUUCAGAGGUAGUUUCAGAGCUUUCAAGAAAGGAUUUUGAUGGACUUAGAGAACCAUAGAAAAAUGGAAUGGAUUUGAUUGGAAAGGACCCUGAAGCUCAUCCAGUGCCACCCCCUGCCAUGGCAGGGACACCUUCCACUGUCCCAGGCUGCUCCAAGCCCUGUCCAACCUGGCCUUGGGCACUGCCAGGGAUCCAGGGGCAGCCACAGCUGCUCUGGGCACCCUGUGCCAGGGCCUCACUGCCCUCACAGGGAAGAAUUUCUUCCAGUGCUUAUUCCUUGUGGAUUUGGACUCCUUGUGUGACACACGAGCAGGGAAUGAUUCACGGCUCUGGCAGAGUCUGUGUGUGAGGGCCACAGGGAUGGUUCUUGGAGCAGCCUUGGAAUGGGCAGUGGCAAGAUCCCACAUCCCUCACCUUCAGCAUACACUGGCUCUGCACAGGGGCCUCAUGUUCAAACUCCUUGCAUAGUUUGGACAGAAAUUUUAAUUCCCAACAGCUCUUUCAUACUACUGUGUCAGUUGAUUGAGUGUUGGUUGCACUCAAAGAUCUUAGAGGUCGUUUCCAACUGGAGUGAUUGUGUGGUUCUGCGCUGUGGUGCAGAACAGUCCCUUGUUGCCUGUUUACAUCUGGGUAUGAACCCUGAGUUAACACCUCACAGUAGGUUACUGUCAUAACUGGUGGCUUGUGGUUGACGGGAUUUUCUGCAGGUUAUUCCAGAACUUGUGGAAUUGGUUCAAGUGUGCAUGGAAAAUAUGGAGUGUGGGGUUGCUGUCAUCACCUCAGCCCUCUGAAGAGAGAGCCAGUGGAUGAAGGUGGUUUUCAAUCCUCCCUGGAGCAGCUCUGGGUGGGGUGUACGGAAAGAGCUGAGUUCUGGUUCAUGUUCAGUGUGCUCUCAUGUUAGGGCAGAACAUGUUAGAGUCACAGAGCCUGGGAUCCACACAAACUCCAACAUCUCCAAGUAAAGGAUCAUCCUUAUAGAGUCAGAGACUGGUUUGGGUGGGAGGGGACCUGAAAGUUCCCCUGCCAUGGCAGGGACACUUUCCACUAUCCCAGGCUGCUCCAGGCUCCAUCCAGCCUGGCCUUGGACACUUCCAAGGAUCCAGGGGCAGCCACAGCUGCUCUGGGGAACCUGUGCCAGGGCCUCAUCUCCUUCCCAGGGGAACAUUUCUGCCUAAUUCAGGCUGAAAGAAACCUUGAAGUGAGGCAGGAGUUGUGAUAAUAGCUGCUCACAACAUUUGACGUAAUUUGCCUUUAGAAGUCAGAGGUUAUUUUUUCCAGAGUAGUUGAGGUGAUUGUGGUGUUGCAUUUAGGGAUAUUUAUGACCUUGAUAUUUUUAUCACAGUGGAAAGAAGAGCAAACAAAGCUUUUGACAAAAUAUAAAAGACCUUAAUACCCGUGUUGUGGGUUUGAACAAGCCACACUUUCCAUUGGAGUUAUGUUCUGUAGUUGCUGGGGAAGGAGGAGGACAGGAGGUGGACAGGACUGAGAAAAGCACAUGUGGAUCUUGUCAUAAACCCAGAUUCAACACUGAAAUCUAGAACACUCCACUUUUCUCUUGUGGUUAAAUUGUGCAAAAUGAAUCAAUGGUCUCAGUGUUACUGGCAGAGAAGUUUGUCACUCUUGGAGCUGUAAAGAAUGUCUUGCAGGCAUGAAUGAGGUUUGAUUGAUGUAACAGUGAUGGUGCAGUCAGCGAGCCGUGGUCGCAGCACAGGUACAGCUCAGAAAUGGGAAGAGCUCUCUAGCUGGGAGCAGCAGGAGCACGUCCUGAUCCCUCGGCGCUCCCGGCGCCUCUGCAGCCCCAGCAGCGCUUGGAGCAGGCUGGGAGCAGCACCUGUCCCGCCCACCGGAGCAGAGCUGGGUCCUGCUUUGCUCUGUCCCUUCCAGCUCCGCUCUGCCCCUCCAUCCUGCUUCCACGGGCUCCUAUGGCCACCUUGGGUUUCUGUUGUGGCAAUCAAACCCACAAGUAGCUCUGAGCACCAGCACACAUGGGGAGAAUGCAAAUACAGCUGUGUUGCUGUUUGUGGAAAUAGCACAGGGCGUAUCUGUACUUGGUUUGGAGAGUUAGCACAAAUAGCUGCAUUAAUAAUUGCUGUGAAAUAUGCAGUGUCCUCCUUUUGGGUGCCCCAGCAGUGUCAAGACCUACUUCUGUGAUUACAGUUACAGUUCAGAGAGCACCCACGGCCUCACAGAAACCUUCUGUUCCUGCCUGGAUUGAUUAUGAUGAUCCACUCUGAGACCACUGGUCAGGAAAAGCUCUUAGCUGGGAAUUCCUGAUCUGCUGCUCCACAUUUGGUGCUCAUUGCGUGUGUUUGAGCCAAGAGCAGCCUGUUACAGUACAAGGACUGGAGCUAGGCAGGGCUUCGGCAGGUUCGGUCUGGAUCCAGAGAUGGAGACAGCUCAUUCCACCUUGGCUCCUCUCCAGCUCAUCCCACCAAUGCCAGUGACGUGUCACCAUUUUAACAAAGGAGAAUUCUUGCCCCCCUGCCACUCCAGUCCAUGCUCUCUUGUCCUAAUCCCUCUCCUAGAAGCUGAGGUCCUGCCCUCAUUGGUGCUGCUGAGCUUGGAGCACAGGAGAGGUGGGGGCCACCAUGCCUUAUGUGCUGGCAUUCCCAGAGUCUCUGUCCUUGGGUCAAGCUCUCCCCUCCUUCAGGCUGUAUUGGAGUUUGGUGUCUGGCCGUGGCAGCUACACUGGAGAGUCUGUGUGGAGGGCGACCCUCACAGGGAGCACUGGGUACCGUGGGAAGAGCUCCUCCACCAGUGCUGUGGUGGUGAUGACAGAGCAGUGCUCCGUCCUCCAGUGGGGACAUGGGAUUGACGUGCCAACUGCACAAACCCUCCCUGUGAGGGGACACUGGAACUCUCACAUCCGAGGUGGCCCCACUCAGACCCCACUGCUCUCACUGUGACAUUUUGAGCCACCUCGAGCCAGAGUGACAAAUGGGGUCUGGGCUGUUCCGUUCUUCAGAACUUCAUCCUGAAGCAACUACUUGAAAACUUCACUAUUCAAAAGUUUCACUUCCCAAAUAGUGCUGUGCUAUAAAUACCCUGUGCAGUGGGAUAUGACAUUUACUCCCACACGAGACACAGCGAGCUUUGUAACUUGCAAACUCCUUAACCCUUGAGUGAACACAAGUCCAGAGGGUAGACAGGAAGGUGAAGAACAUCACACUGUGCUCCUGCAUCUUAGACAAGAAUUUCUCAUCAUGCUGGGAAUGAAUCUUGCUGGACAAUGAAGCCAAGGACUGGAACACCUCUCCUGUGAGGACAGGCUGAGAGAGCUGUGGUUCAGCCUGAAGAGGAGAAGGCUCCAGGGAGAGCUCCAAGGCUUCCAGUGCCUAAAGGGGCUCCAAGAGAACUGGAGAGAGGCUUGGGAUAACGGCCUGGAUUGACAGGACAAGGGGGAAUGGCUUCUCACUGCCAGAGGGCAGGGAUGGAUGGGAGAUUGGGAAGGAAUUGUUCCCUGGGAGGGUGGGCAGGCCCUGGCACAGGUGCCCAGAGCAGCUGUGGCUGCCCCUGGAUCCCUGGCAGUGCCCAAGGCCAGGCUGGACAGGGCUUGGAGCAGCCUGGGAUGGUGGGAGGUGUCCCUGCCCAUGGCAGGGGUGGCACUGGAUGGUGUUUUAGGUUCCUUCCCACCCAGACCAUUCUGGGAGUCUGUGGUUGCCAGGAUCCCAGGGACAGGUGUGCAGCACUGGUGUUACCUGGAGCAAAGCCCCAGCACAGGGGCUGAGGGAGGCAGCUUUGGGCAGUGUGGGGUGCCCUGGGUAUCAGACCCGGCUGCGACUGUGGGCAGGGCAGAGGGGCUGCCCUGGGCUGGGGCUUCAGGCACUGUGACCAGAGUUCAGCGUCCCUCUCACUGCUGUUCCCUGGUCAGGCUGAGCUCAGCCCUCAAACCCUGCUCACACUGUGGUGAAGCAGCAGGGCUGGCUCCAGGACAAGGCGUUGGGAACUCCUCUGCUCUCAGCACUGCAGAUGUGGGCUUUGGAGCAAAUCUCAGAGGGACAAACAACUCCAGGCAUUUCAGCUCUGCAGUCGCUGUUGAGUGCCAGAAUGGGAUCUGGUUGUGAAACCUCCUGAGUUCCGUGUCUGCCAGGUGUGCGGGAUCCCCUGCCUGUGCACAGCCUCUCACCUCGUCGGGAAAACCAGCCCCGGGUCCUGGAAUGCCUGCUCAGCUUCCUGUGAGGCUGGGAUGCUCCGAGCCCUCACACAGGGUGGGCAGCAGGACUCUCCCUGCGCCGGGCACGGCCCCAGAGGAGUGGAACAAGAGCAGAGGAAAUCCCGAGAGCGCCGGCACACGGAGCCCUGAGGGGCUCAGCUGUCGGCAGCUGCUGUUGUGCAGCCUCCCUUCUGGAAUGUCCCCUUUCAUCCCAGCCUCUGGCCUCCACUUGAACCGUCUGAAAUCCCGGGCAGCCGAGAAGCUCUUUGCUCUUACAGGCAUUCAGAAGGUCUCAGCUGAGCCCCAGCAGCUGCUGCCUGUGUGAGGCACUUCUGCACCGCUCUGCCCGGUGCUCAUCCCCUGCCUGCUGAGGAGGUGGCACAUCCCCACAUUCCCCUGCCCGCACCUCCUCCGAGCCCUCCCGCUGCUGCAGAAGGGACGUGGAACUGCCAUGCUCGCUUCCCAGGAGAAGGGUGAUCUUGGUGGAGGGAGCCCAGCUUGGCGUGGUCCUCAUUUCUGCUGUCAUGUGUGAAGAGAGGUGCAGAGAAACACAUCCAGAGGCCCAGAGCUGGGCAUGGAGCACAGGCAGCAUGUCUGAAUAGUCCCAUCUGCAGGAGCCUACAAGGAGCUAUUCCUUCUCAAGCCUAAAAAGGGGAACAAUUUCCUUCACCAGGUCUGACAGCAAGACGUGGGGUCACUGGGGAGAUAUCCACAGACAGAUCCAUCAGGGCUGAAGGCAGAACCACAAUUAAUAUUGGGUUGCAAAACACAACCCCUGGAGUAUCUUUGUUUUCCUAACACCAAAAAUGUCCCUUUACCAAAGAGCCCGAGAGCUUACAGGCAGCAUUAUCUGGGCAGACAAAUGCAGGGCCUGUGAGGCACCUUCAGCUGCUGUGACAGUGAAUCCUGUCAAAAACAACUGAACAGCAAAAGAACAAUGCAGCAGAAGCCUGGUCAGCCAGAGCCCAGGGUGGAGCAGGGGCAUGGCACAAAGGCACUUUUACACAGACCCCUCUAGCAGCAGUUCUCCAGCAAUAGCAGCCAGCUCAGCUUUGGCUUUGGGAAUUUAUUAAGAUAAAUCAAGUGUCAGAGACUGGAAUUUCUAAUGAAAUUGAAUUAGACUGUAAAAAAUGUGUAAAAAUGGAAAUGGGCUAAAAAUUCCAUCAGACAUUUGAUAUUAAUCCAACAGAAAAAUGCAUGUGAUGCUUUAAAGGGAAUUAUAUAAUAAUCUGGUCAAAAUAACAAAGCCUUUGGAGCAUCCUGUGGGAUGGGGAUUCUGUCUGGAGGUGGGAUCCGUAGAGAGAUAAAGAGGAAAUUCAGCUAAAUGUCAAAGGUAACACGGAGCCACCUCACUGUGAUUGCACCUCUGGGACUGCCUGCCUUCUGCUCCCACAGCCCCACACCUGGGCUCCUGCAGCACUGGCACAGGGUGCCCAGAGCAGCUGUGGCUGCCCCUGGAUCCCUGGCAGUGCCCAAGGCCAGGCUGGACAGGGCUUGGAGCAGCCUGGGACAGUGGAAGGUGUCCCUGCCAUGGCAGGGGGGUAGAAUUGGGUAUUUAAGGUCCCUUCACACCAAAACCAUUCCAUGAUUCUAUUCUAUGAUUCUCAUGCAGUUGAAGUGGUCCCUGCUCUUUUCAGGGGGUUGGAUCCUGCCCGUGGUGGGUUGGCCCUUGGCUGGACACUGGGUGCCCCCAAAGCCACUCUGUUGCUCCCCUCAGCUGCACAGGAGAAAACAGAGCUAAAGGCUCACGGGUGGAGAUCAGGACAGGGAGGUGUCACUCAGCAAGGACCAU